rnacentral:lncRNA from 1 species
CAGGUGGCUGCCGGUGUGGUACCGCACCAAACCUCUCCGCCUACGCCUUGCGAGGCUGCUUUCUGUAUAUAUGCCUAAUUCCUAUUUUAAAAUGACUGUAGCAAUGCCUCAGCUUAUCAAGAGCUGUGAGAGAUAUGAGGGCCUUGGUCUCCUGGUCAGUAAGGAAGCUGCACUGGAAAUACUUUCCAGUGAAAUGUUUGCAUGAAGAGUUGCAGGAAAAGGAAAGAGCUGCUCUUAUCACCACUGAAUUGACAAAUUCUGUUUGUCAGAAGGAAGAUGUUUCUUUGAAAGUCAGUGAGAUUCUUGCUUUGAUUCCUAAGUAACUUUGCU